rnacentral:rRNA from 1 species
AACGAACGCUGGCGGCAUGCCUAACACAUGCAAGUCGAACGAGACCUUCGGGUCUAGUGGCGCACGGGUGCGUAACGCGUGGGAACCUGCCCUUAGGUUCGGAAUAACUCCCCGAAAGGGGUGCUAAUACCGGAUAAUGUCUUCGGACCAAAGAUUUAUCGCCUUUGGAUGGGCCCGCGUUGGAUUAGCUAGUUGGUAGGGUAAAAGCCUACCAAGGCGACGAUCCAUAGCUGGUCUGAGAGGUUGAUCAGCCACACUGGGACUGAGACACGGCCCAGACACGGGGGGGGGGAAGGAGGAGGAAAUAUGGAGCAAUGGGCGAAAGCGUGAUCGGGCACGGCCGGGGGAGUGAUGAGGUCCUGGGGGUUGUAACGCUCUUUGACCAGGGAUCAUAAUGACAUUCCGGGGAGAACAAGCUCCGUCAACCUCAGUCCCACCGGCCGCGCUAACAAUCGGAAGCGCACCCGUCCGAAC